GGUGAACGCUGGCGGCGUGCCUAAUACAUGCAAGUCGAGCGAACAGACGAGGAGCUUGCUCCUCUGACGUUAGCGGCGGACGGGUGAGUAACACGUGGAUAACCUACCUAUAAGACUGGGAUAACUUCGGGAAACCGGAGCUAAUACCGGAUAAUAUAUUGAACCGCAUGGUUCAAUAGUGAAAGACGGUUUUGCUGUCACUUAUAGAUGGAUCCGCGCCGCAUUAGCUAGUUGGUAAGGUAACGGCUUACCAAGGCAACGAUGCGUAGCCGACCUGAGAGGGUGAUCGGCCACACUGGAACUGAGACACGGUCCAGACUCCUACGGGAGGCAGCAGUAGGGAAUCUUCCGCAAUGGGCGAAAGCCUGACGGAGCAACGCCGCGUGAGUGAUGAAGGUCCUCGGAUCGUAAAACUCUGUUAUUAGGGAAGAACAAAUGUGUAAGUAACUAUGCACGUCUUGACGGUACCUAAUCAGAAAGCCACGGCUAACUACGUG
rnacentral:rRNA from 1 species